GGAGAGAGGGCUGGCAGAAAGUUGCUGACAAAUUAAACUCGACAGUGAAGCAACCCUGUCAGAUGACUGUGGUUUGGAGGAAGUCCCUGCAAAGAGGCCGGCAGAGAGGCCUGAUACAGAGGGUGACAUUCGUUUGCUCUAUAAGAGAAGUCUCCAGCAAAAAAUGGAGUAUACUGAGCUAAAGAAACAAAAGCUUCUAGGUGAAAUCGAACUUCAAGCUCU